GACGAACGCUGGCGGCGUGCUUAACACAUGCAAGUCGAACGGAAAGGCCUCUUUCGGGGGGUACUCGAGUGGCGAACGGGUGAGUAACACGUGAGUAACCUGCCCUUGACUUUGGGAUAACUUCAGGAAACUGGGGCUAAUACCGGAUAGGAGCUCCUGCUGCAUGGUGGGGGUUGGAAAGUUUCGGCGGUUGGGGAUGGACUCGCGGCUUAUCAGCUUGUUGGUGGGGUAGUGGCUUACCAAGGCUUUGACGGGUAGCCGGCCUGAGAGGGUGACCGGCCCCAUUGGGGCUGAGAGACGGCCCCGAGUCCUACGGGGGGCAGCAGUGUGGAAUAUUGCACAAUGGGUGGGGGCCUGAUGCAGCACCGCCGCGUGCGGGAUGACGGCCUUCGGGUUGUAUACCGCUUUCGCUCAUGACGAGGCUUUGUGUGACGGUAGUGGGUAAAGAAGCACCGGCUAACUACGUG
rnacentral:rRNA from 1 species